rnacentral:rRNA from 1 species
GGCCUGGCUGGGCGGUCUGCCUUAUGGUGAGUACUGCUUUGGCUGGGUCUUUCCUUCUGGAGAGCCGGCAUUCCCUUUACUGGGUGUGUCGGGGAUCCAGGACUUUUACUUUGAAAAAAUUAGAGUGUUUAAAGCAAGCGUACGCUUGAAUACAUUAGCAUGGAAUAAUGAAAUAGGGCU